CCUACGGGGAGCAGCAGUGAGGAAUAUUGGUCAAUGGACGAGAGUCUGAACCAGCCAAGUAGCGUGAAGGAUGACUGCCCUAUGGGUUGUAAACUUCUUUUAUAUGGGAAUAAAAUGUUCCACGUGUGGGAUUUUGUAUGUACCAUAUGAAUAAGGAUCGGCUAACUCCGUGCCAGCAGCCGCGGUAAUACGGAGGAUCCGAGCGUUAUCCGGCUUUAUUGGGUUUAAAGGGAGCGUAGGUGGAUUGUUAAGUCAGUUGUGAAAGUUUGCGGCUCAACCGUAAAAUUGCAGUUGAAACUGGCAGUCUUGAGUACAGUAGAGGUGGGCGGAAUUCGUGGUGUAGCGGUGAAAUGCUUAGAUAUCACGAAGAACUCCGAUUGCGAAGGCAGUUCACUGGACUGCAACUGACACUGAGGCUCGAAAGUGUGGGUAUCAAACAGGAUUAGAUACCCUUGUAGUC
rnacentral:rRNA from 1 species